rnacentral:rRNA from 1 species
GACGAACGCUGGCGGCGUGCUUAACACAUGCAAGUCGAACGGAAAGGCCCUGCUUUUGUGGGGUGCUCGAGUGGCGAACGGGUGAGUAACACGUGAGUAACCUGCCCUUGACUUUGGGAUAACUUCAGGAAACUGGGGCUAAUACCGGAUAGGAGCUCCUGCUGCAUGGUGGGGGUUGGAAAGUUUCGGCGGUUGGGGAUGGACUCGCGGCUUAUCAGCUUGUUGGUGGGGGAGUGGCUUACCAAGGCUUUGACGGGUAGCCGGCCGGAGAGGGUGACCGGCCACAUGGGGCCGGGGAUACGGCCCGGACUCCUACGGGAGGCAGCAGGGGGGAAUAUUGCACAAUGGGCGGAAGCCUGAUGCAGCAACGCGGGGGGCGGGAUGACGGCCUUCGGGUUGUAAACCGCUUUCGCCUGUGACGAAGCGUGAGUGACGGUAAUGGGUAAAGAAGCACCGGCUAACUACGUG